rnacentral:rRNA from 1 species
GAUGAACGCUGGCGGCGUGCCUAAUACAUGCAAGUCGAGCGAACAGACGAGUAGCUUGCUCCUCUGACGUUAGCGGCGGACGGGUGAGUAACACGUGGAUAACCUACCUAUAAGACUUGGCUAACGUCGGGAAACCGGAGCUCAUACCGGAUAACAUGUUGAACCGCAUGGUUCAACAGUGAAAGACGGGCUUGCUGUCACUUCUAGAUGGAUCCGCGCCGCAUUAGCUAGUUGGUAAGGUAACGGCUUACCAGGGCAACGAUGCGUAGCCGACCUGAGAGGGGGAUCGGCCACACUGGAACUGAGACACGGUCCAGACUCCUACGGGAGGCAGCAGUAGGGAAUGUUCGGCAAUGGGCGAAAGCCUGACGGAGCGACGCCGGGUGAGUGAAGAAGGUCUUCGGAUCGUAAAACGCUGUUAUUGGGGAAGAACAAAUGUGUAAGUAACUAUGCACGUCUUGACGGUACCUAAUCAGAAAGCCACGGCUAACUACGUG